rnacentral:lncRNA from 12 species
GAUCAGAUUUACAUCCUGAAGGGAUCACGGGCUGCCCUGUGAUCCGAUCAGAAUUCAUCUAAAGAUUCCCACCGACCCCCUCCCCUCUUCUCCUGCCCAUUGGGACCCACGGCCUGGACCCACGAAGCAAGGAGUCUGGGACGGGCCACCACAGCAACUGACUGUCCUUCACUUGAGCCAGCGACCCGCACGGUGACCGUCGUCUUGCCAAUCACCUUGCCGUUUCCAAAAGCACUUUACUGCUGGAGGAAUGACUGGGGCUCCGAGUGGCCUUAUGUAACAGUUGGACUUGCCUCUGGGCUGGAGACAGGGCUCCUGUCAGCCGAUCGGCCCCUAAGAGCACGCUUGGACCUGAUAAACAGAGGAUUCCCUUCCCGCCACGUCCCAGGCACCUGCAGGCGUGUACAGUUGGAGAAGGGCCAGCGCUAACGCGCCUCCGUC